ACGGAGGUCUGGCCGCCCCCCGCCCCUUGGUGGGUCCCCCGGCCGCCCGCUCGGAGCAGCUGCACUCACUGCCUGGCUGCGCGCGCCCAGCGCCUGCAGGGCCCGGCGGCGGCGGCGGCGGCGGGGACCGAGACAGCGGCUGCAGCAGCGGCGGCGGCGGCGGCCCUAGCCGGCGUCAGUCAGACUGGAGCCGCGAAGCCUCAUCGCCCGUAUUAGUGCGCCGACCUGGAAAGCCGCCAGGAGCCCUGCUCGCGGGUCCGCCCCCGCCCGCCGCCGCCGCGCGCCCAGAGCCGCUUGGGGAGCCCGCGAGGAGGGGGAGCGCGGCCCGCCCCGCGGCCACGUGCGCGGAAGCCCGCGGCGGGGGCGCCUCGGGGACGUCCCGGCGCGGGGUCUCCCGGGCCCCCGGGCGGCGUCCUCGUCCUCCCGUGGGACCCGACUCCCCUUGUCCGCGGCUCGGCCCCCUCGGCUGGGCGGCGGGGGCACCUCGCGUCUCUCUCCCCGAGACGUCCUGCCUCCCCACCUGGAGCCCGAGGCCGGAGUACCGUUUCCAGAACUCGAGGUGUGGGACCGACAAAUCGGUUUGGAAACCGCCACCCCCAACAAGUGGCUCUUCCCGAAGUGUUUCUGGGCCCCGAGGGUGGCUGUUCCUUGCUGUUUGUCUCUUACUUGCUUUGCAAGAGUAAAGGGGGUCAUUACCCCCAACCGACAGCGCCAGAGUAACUGGUUUGCCCCUGCAUAAGCGGAUGAAAAUCGACUCACUCAGAGUGGUGAGUGGUGGUUAAAACUAGGCUAGGUGUUAAGUUUGAGAUCGCUCUGGGUGUGAAAGUCCAGGGAACCUUUGGACUGCUACCAAUGGCACCUCCUGGGCAUUUUAUUGCAGGUGCAUUAGACAAGGCAGAGGACUCAACGCAGAGCAAGAAGCCAUAACCUCUGCAGUGCUGGCUUGGGCUUCCAGCACAGUCUUUAUAGGUUCUCCGAGUUCUCUGGGCUCUUGGCAGGACUUGCUUCUGCAGAUUCUUUGAAGCAGGUGACACAGGAGACACGGAUUCGAUCCCUGGUUUGGGAAGAUCCCCUGGAGGAGAGCAUGGCAGCCCACUUCAGUGUUCUUGCCUGGAAAAUUCCACAGACAGAGGAGCUUGACGGGCUACAGUCCAUGGGAUCACAAGGAGUCGGACAGGACUGGCAGUUCUAGAAGUCCAAGAUCAGGGUGUUGGCAGAUUCGGUGUGUGGACAGGCUGAGCCCACUAGACCAGCAAGUUGCCUGGCUGGAAGAUGCAAGUUUCUCCCUGGUGUUUAUCAACAGAUGACUUCUGAUGGAAUGAAUCCUAGGAGAAAUAGAAGAGAUAUUCAAAACUCUUUAAAUGAGACUAAAAGAACAUCUCUGAAAGCAUUUUCUGUACAAAUAUAAUGUUUCAUGUUCAUACAGAAUUUAAGAUUAAUAAAGGAUCUUAAUCGUUGUCUGUGCUUCUAUCAUACUGCAUAUUGUUUGAUAAGAAAACUGUGAUGCACACAGCUUUCAUCACUGGAAAAAUGUCUCAUGAUUCACCUGAACAGUAUCCAUCCACAUCUGUUGUCUAUCCAGAGGGAAGAAUGAUGUGCAAGAAACCAUAUUUUUAAUGAAAUUUCAAUUUCUGACAUAUAUUUCCUAUAAGAAAUGUAAAUAAGUUUCAGUUUUUUGGAAGUAUGUUUUCUGAAAUGGUCAUUUAAAAACAUUGAAUGUGAUGUAAUUGCAGCUAAAACUCAGCUGUUGUGCACUGAUUUAAUCAUCUGCAAUGGUGAACGCACAGGUAUUUGAGAAAUUUAAAAAACUGUAUGGGACUUCACUAAAAAGGCUAUGGUUUUUCCAGUGGUCAUGUAUGGAUGUGAGAGUUGGACUGUGGAGAAGUCUGAGCGCCAAAGAAUUGAUGCUUUUGAACUGUGGUGUUGGAGAAGACUCUUGAGAGUUCCUUGGACUGCAAGGAGAUCCAACCAGUCCAUUCUGAAGGAGAUAAGCCCUGGGAUUUCUUUGGAAGGAAUGAUGCUAAAGCUGAAACUCCAGUACUUUGGCCACUUUAUGUGAAGAGUGACUCAUUGGAAAAGACUGAUGCUGGGAGGGAUUGGGGGCAGGAGGAGAAGGGGACGACAGAGGAUGAGACGGCUGGAUGGCAUCACUGACUCGAUGGACAUGAGUCUGAGUGAACUCUGGGAGUUGGUGAUGGACAGGGAGGCUUGGCGUGCUGCGAUUCAUGGGGUCACAAAGAGUCGUACACAACUAAGCAACUGAAUGAACUGAAACAGGAUUUUAAAUUUUACAAUCUCGAUUCAUUUCUUUCUUUAUAUAAUCUUGAUUCUCUCUUCUCUUUAAUGGAAAGAGAAUAGUAAUCAUAGUGGAAAAUACUGGGUCAAACGCUUACCCUACCUUCUUCAGUAUGAGAACCUGUUACCCUCUGCUAAUACUUUUUAUCUUAAAAAAGACAGAUUGGGCUGUAAUUGCACACUUAGCUUACUGAUUCUCCAGCAGUGGGUCAUAGCUUCCCAGCUGUGAUGUCAGAAGAUUGCCUAGGGGAUUGCAAUGCCUGUAACCUCUGUUUUUGCCCCUUUACCCUCCCUCAUCUAUAAUAAACUGUCUUAUAAAUUCUGCUAUAUACAUUUAG
ensembl:lncRNA